rnacentral:rRNA from 1 species
GGAUCCAGACUUUGAUUAUGGCUCAUGAUGAACGCUAGCGGCAGGCUUAACACAUGCAAGUCGAGGGGCAGCGCGGGGCGGCAACGUCCUGGCGGCGACCGGCGGAAGGGUGCGUAACGCGUGAGCGACAUGCCCGUUGCCCGGGGACAACCGGUGGAAACGCCGACUGAUCCCCGAUGGGACGGAGGCCCUCAUGGGUCUCUGUUGAAAGUUACGGCGGCGACGGAUUGGCUCGCGUCCGAUUAGCUUGUUGGCGGGGUAACGGCCCACCAAGGCUACGAUCGGUAGGGGUUCUGAGAGGAAGGUCCCCCACAAUGGAACUGAGACACGGUCCAUACUCCUACGGGAGGCAGCAGUGAGGAAUAUUGGUCAAUGGGCGGAAGCCUGAACCAGCCAUGCCGCGUGCGGGAAGGAGGCCCUAUGGGCUGUGAACCGCUUUUGCCUGGGGGCAAUAAGGGCGUCGUGCACGUCCGAUGAGAGUACCAGGCGAAUAAGCAUCGGCUAACUCCGUGCCAGCAGCCGCGGUAAUACGGGGGAUGCGAGCGUUAUCCGGAUUCAUUGGGUUUAAAGGGUGCGUAGGCUGUGCGUCAAGUCAGGGGUGAAAUUCCGGGGCUCAACUCCGGGGCUGCCCUUGAUACUGUCGCGCUGGAGUGCGGAUGCCGCCGGAGGAAUGAGUGGUGUAGCGGUGAAAUGCUUAGAUAUCACUCAGAACACCGAUUGCGAAGGCAUCUGGCGAAUCCGUAACUGACGCUGAGGCACGAAAGCGUGGGGAUAGAACAGGAUUAGAUACCCUGGUAUUCCACGCCGUAAACGAUGAUGGCUAACCGCCGGCGACACACUGUCGGUGGCCAAGCGAAAGCGAUAAGCCAUCCACCUGGGGAGUACGUCGGCAACGAUGCAACUCAAAUGAAUUGACGG